rnacentral:rRNA from 1 species
CACUGGUGGGUGUCGCAUGGCCGUUCGUGUUGGUGGAGUGAUUUGUCUGGUUAAUUCCGUUAACGAACGAGACCUUAACCUGCUAAAUAGUCACGCGAACCGGUCCGCAAGGGCUCAAAGUUCGCGGCUCGACUUCUUAUAGGGACUAUUCGCACCCGCCAACGAAUGGAAGUUUGAGGCAAUAACAGGUCUGGGAUGCCCUUAAAUGUUCUCGGCCGCACGCGCGUUACACUGACGGAGUCAACGAGCGUUUUUCCUUGCCCGACAGGGCUGGGUAACCUCCUGAAACUCCGUCGUGAUGGGGAUAGAUCAUUGCAAUUAUUGAUCUUGAACGAGGAAUUCCUAGUAGGCGCGAGUCAUCAACUCGCGCCGAUUACGUCCCUGCCCUUUGUACACACCGCCCGUCGCUCCUACCGAUUGAACGGUCCGGCGAGAACUCCGG